CGAAGCUCUGAAUUGAAGCCCCAGUAAACGGCGGCCGUAACUAUAACGGUCCUAAGGUAGCGAAAUUCCUUGUCGGGUAAGUUCCGACCCGCACGAAAGGCGUAAUGAUUUGGGCACUGUCUCAACGAGAGACUCGGUGAAAUUUUAGUACCUGUGAAGAUGCAGGUUACCCGCGACAGGACGGAAAGACCCCAUGGAGCUUUACUGCAGUUUGAUAUUGAGUAUCUGUACCACAUGUACAGGAUAGGUAGGAGCCAUUGA
rnacentral:ncRNA from 1 species